GAUGAAGAACGCAGCGAAAUGCGAUAAGUAGUGUGAAUUGCAGAAUUCAGUGAAUCAUCGAAUCUUUGAACGCACAUUGCGCCCCUUGGUAUUCCAUGGGGCAUGCCUGUUCGAGCGUCAUUUGUACCUUCAAGCUCUGCUUGGUGUUGGGUGUUUGUCUCGCCUCUGCGUGUAGACUCGCCUCAAAACAAUUGGCAGCCGGCGUAUUGAUUUCGGAGCGCAGUACAUCUCGCGCUUUCCACUCAUAACGACGACGUCCAAAAGUACAUUUUUACACUCUUGACCUCGGAUCAGGUAGGGAUACCCGCUGAACUUAAGCAUAUCAAUAAGCGGAGGA
rnacentral:misc_RNA from 1 species